rnacentral:lncRNA from 1 species
AAAAAGCUGCCUACUCAAAUUCUUUUAUUGUCCUGAUUUGAAGAAGGUUUUUUUUUAAUCAAAUAGGCAUGAAGGCUAAUAAACAUCUGAUACUUCAAUUUCUUUUUUUGAAGAAAAAAAAAGAAAAUGCCUACCUACCUACCCACUGUCUCAACCUUUGGGUAGGGUUUGGGCAAACCAAAAUAUUUUUAAGUGUGGCCU